UGUUGGAACAAGAUCAUCAGGUCAAAGACAUGAAAUAAAUGAAAAUGCGUCCCUGUCCUCAGAGGACAUCAGGGUCCUUUAACGGCAAUAAAACAACUUUUACUUUCACAUGAAAUCAGUGAAACCAGAGGUAGAAAUACUUUGUGAUCAGUAAACUUCACUGUUUCUCUCAGUUUUCAGCAGCAGAGAGAAAAGUCUCCUGUACCCAGCUGUGUGUCCAUGAAGAGUGAUCGGUCUCUGGAUCGUCCGACUAACUUCAAAGAUGGACGCCGUCCUGAUGACCCAGAGGUGGACCAGCAGAGCUCAGAGGUUCCCAGUGGUCAGUCUGCCCGGCACCAUCAGACACAACUGGACUCCAUAUUUACGGAGCUGGAGGACAACAUCGUCACUUUUGUGAAGAACG